UACGGGAGGCAGCAGGGGGGAAUUUUCCGCAAUGGGCGAAAGCCUGACGGAGCAAUACCGCGUGAGGGAAGAAUGCCUAUGGGUUGUAAACCUCUUUUUUCAGGGAGGAAUAAUAUGACGUGUACCUGAAGAAUAAGCAUCGGCUAACUCCGUGCCAGCAGCCGCGGUAAGACGGAGGAUGCAAGUGUUAUCCGGAAUCACUGGGCGUAAAGCGUCUGUAGGUGGUUUAAUAAGUCAGCUGUUAAAUCUUGGUGGCUCAACUUCAAAAUCGCAGUCGAAACUAUUAGACUAGAGUAUAGUAGAGGUAAAGGGAAUUUCCAGUGGAGCGGUGAAAUGCGUAGAUAUUGGAAAGAACACCGAUGGCGAAAGCACUUUACUGAGCUAUUACUAACACUCAGAGACGAAAGCUAGGGUAGCAAAUGGGAUUAGAUACCCCAGUAGUCCUAGCUGUAAACAAUGGAUACUAGAUGUUGAACAGAUCGACCUGUGCAGUAUCAAAGCUAACGCGUUAAGUAUCCCGCCUGGGAAGUAUGCUCGCAAGAGUGAGACUCAAGGGAAUUGACGG
rnacentral:rRNA from 1 species